CACAGCUACGGUUCCAGGAGCUUGAGGUGGAAGAUGCCCAUCCCAGGACAUGAGUGUAGGACACAGACCAGUGCUGUCCAAGCACGUAUUCUGAUGGGCCACAGGGCGUUCUCCACAACUCUGUUCAUAUACAUAAAGAUGGCCA